rnacentral:ncRNA from 2 species
UUUAUCAGAAGAGGUGCGUUUGCCAGGCAAGCUGUAGUAGGGUGCCAAAACCCAAUGAAUACAGCCUAGGGGGCACAACGCCGAGAUACGAACGAUUUGGCGGCGUUCGUAUCGGUGGUUAGGGUUGAAUCUCUGCUACUGUCACCGUUUCAGGUGGAGAGCUUCUGGGGCG